rnacentral:tRNA from 2 species
UAGAUGGAGGCUCACUGGUUUGGGCGUUUAGCUGUUAACUAAGAGUUUGUAGGAUCGAAGCCUUCCCAUCUAG